UCUCCUGUAGCUAAGUGGUAGAGCGUCCGCCCAGUGUGCGGAAGUCAUAGGUUAAGUUAGACUCCCCUUGGGAGAA